GCAGUCGUGGUCGAGUGGUUAAUGCGAUGGACUAGAAAUCCCGGUCUCCCCGCACAGGUUCGAAUCCUGUCGACUGCG
rnacentral:tRNA from 1 species